GAUGAACGCUGGCGGCGUGCCUAAUACAUGCAAGUCGAGCGAACGGACGAGAAGCUUGCUUUUCUGAUGUUAGCGGCGGACGGGAGAGUAACACGUGGAUAACCUACCUAUAAGACUGGGAUAACUUCGGGAAACCGGAGCUAAUACCGGAUAAUAUUUUGAACCGCAUGGUUCAAAAGUGAAAGACGGUCUUGCUGUCGCUGGGAGAUGGACCCGCGGUUCAUUAGCUAGUUGGUGAGGUAACGGCAUACCAAGGCGACGAUGGAUAGCCGGCCUGAGAGGGGGACCGGCCACACUGGGACUGAGACACGGCCCAGACUCCUACGGGAGGCAGCAGUGGGGAAUAUUGCGCAAUGGGCGAAAGCCUGACGCAGCGACGCCGCGUGGGGGAUGACGGCCUUCGGGUUGUAAACCUCUUUCAGCAGGGACGAAGCGAAAGUGACGGUACCUGCAUAAGAAGCACCGGCCAACUACGUG
rnacentral:rRNA from 1 species